GCUUCUGUGGUCCAAUGGUUAGGAUUCCACCCUUCCAUAUACAAAGUUAGGUGGAGGUUCGUGUUCGAUUCACGGCGGUUGCA